UUUAUAUGAGAGUUUGAUCCUGGCUCAGGAUGAACGCCGGCGGUGUGCCUAAUACAUGCAAGUCGUACGCACUGGCCCAACUGAUUGAUGGUGCUUGCACCUGAUUGACGAUGGAUCACCAGUGAGUGGCGGACGGGUGAGUAACACGUAGGUAACCUGCCCCGGAGCGGGGGAUAACAUUUGGAAACAGAUGCUAAUACCGCAUAACAAUAAAAGCCGCAUGGCUUUUAUUU
rnacentral:rRNA from 1 species